rnacentral:lncRNA from 1 species
UUGUACUUGCUUGUCAAAGAAAAGCUUAAAGCACCACUCAAGAUCUUUCACUUGUCAGACACGAGAAACUGAAAUUCUCUUAAUAAUAUUCCAACUCUAUAAGAUCAGUAAUAACAUUUAUAACUCGUAAAUAGAUUUAAUUUAAUGAUGCUUUGCUACAAUCAAACACCAUUUGCAAUGUACUUGGGUUGACCAGGUCGAGUAACAUGAUGGAAGAGCGCCUCUCGUAUCCCACUGGCGAGAGAAGGAUAAAGAUACUCCGUCAUUGGUCUAAUAUAAUAAGGAAAAUCGAGGAAUUUAUGUCGCUGAUCUGAGCCGCUAACUGCGUUUCCCAUUUGUUUCCGAUUCCGCUACAUUCUCUCAUGUUGUUCAUCUUGUUCACACCACAUCAAGGUUGUAUGUUUAAUUGCGUAUUUGCAUCUUUGCUUCUGGUUCUAUUUGCCAUAAACAGAACAAAAUAUUAGGUUGACUCAUAAUAACUUCAGUAUAGAAACAUUACGUGUCUCUUAUCAUCUGAAAGUCAUAUAAUCUUAUGCUUUUAGACAUCAAAACUGAGACAUGGCCAACUAUGUUGUCGCUGCUGUGCUGCCAAGGGUAGGCGCAACCAACAUUUAUUAGGCCACCAGAUAAUUCUUUUGUGUUAUGAAUGUACUCCAAAUAUCAUGAUAAUUUUAAUAGAUUGUAUUCCUCUACAACUGAAUUAAAUGAAUAUAUAAUUGAAAGAUCUCACGUGCCAUCAUCAAACUUCAAAGAAACGAAUAUCAUGUAUAAUGUUUCGUCCCAUUCAAUCUUGAACAAUUAAUCUAGUUUCACAAGAAUACUUUGGCUUUCCCUUGGCAAUGUUCUGAAUCUGGUUCUUCAACAUGUGCAAGACAAAUCUGAACAUACAUGAAAAUCAAGAUCCAACAAAUACGCUAGCAAGAGUAUAAGCAAAACUCUGGUCUACAAAAUAUUUAGUUUGUUCUUGUUGCGUGGACAUGAAGUAAGAACAUGAAUCAAUUUACCUGAUGAGGAUGUGUCUAGUUUUAGCUUAUAUUCUCAUCGGAAAGAAAUUGUUAUGAUUAUUAACCACGUGAUGAAAUUAGAAUGAAACUUCAGGGUGUUACUUGUUGAGAACUUGCCCGACAUUCCAAAUUAUAAACCUUAUCUACACAGAAUGGGCGAGAAACCCUACCCCAUUAAUCUAUUAUACUAAUAUUUUGCCAGGUGAUUUAUUUAGGUCCAUCAAUUAACAUGAGCAGAACAGUCCAGCCAAAUUUUCUUUCAAUGUGAACCCCGCAACAUGCAAAUGCAGCCCCUAUUCUACAGCCAGUAAACAGAGUGCAUGUGCGCUCCCAGACUCACAAUACUAAUGAAACUCGAUUGAUCAUAUGUUAUGGGUAAGGUAGCAAUGCCAACACGCUACAUCAAAUCUAGAGCGAACGAAACUUCAACCUCAUCCUUGGCUAANCGGCUCUUCUGCAGGAGCCCAUUUUGCUCGGCAAGCAACAUGUUUGGAGGAGGUGACAUCGAACAUGUAGACGUGGCAGAUGAGGCAUCGGUCCAGAGUGGAGCGGUGUACAUGCUCUUAGGAGUACUACCUCCGUCCAAGUGUAUAGGGCAUGCGCGUAGUUCUACGUUGUCAAUUUAACUAGCUAAAUAUAUAUUAUAUGCGAUACAAAUUACAUAUUUAGAAACUAUAUCCCUACAUGAAUUUAAUGAUAUAUUAUUUCUUACAUAUAAUACGUAUUUAAGUAGUUAAAUUAAUGACCUAGAACUACGCGCAUGUCCUGUACACUUGGACGGAGGGAGUACUACUCAUGGCAGUAGCUGUAGUAAUUACAUGCAUAUCAUGCGCAGUUCAUUUGUGAAAAUUGUGUUGUUUCGUAGCAUGUGCGCUAACUAAGUGAACCUUUUAAUUGUUGUCUUGGAACUAAUGAUCUUGAUCUAGCCAAAGUUCCCGCUGCUACUUUUGCACUCGUCUUUACUCAAUAUUGCAUAUGCCAAAUUUGCAAGCAUAAUUCUAAUUGCAGACGCAAACGAGGAGCAAUUAGAACAACAACAUCAGGCAUAUACCAAUGUGGAAGGCGAUGGGAAUGGAGGAGCCUCAGAUAAACUAAUUUAUUUCAAAGACACCAAUUAGGAGAAUCUGGUUGCACAAUCAGCAUUUAUUAAUCUUCAAUUUAAUCUGUAGGUGCCAACAGUGAAUUGCAUGCUUUAUGAACAACUAGUAAAAGGCCCGUGCGUUGCAACAGGGAAAAAGUGCCGUUGUACUUGCUUGUCAAAGAAAAGCUUAAAGCACCACUCAAGAUCUUUCACUUGUCAGACACGAGAAACUGAAAUUCUCUUAAUAAUAUUCCAACUCUAUAAGAUCAGUAAUAACAUUUAUAACUCGUAAAUAGAUUUAAUUUAAUGAUGCUUUGCUACAAUCAAACACCAUUUGCAAUGUACUUGGGUUGACCAGGUCGAGUAACAUGAUGGAAGAGCGCCUCUCGUAUCCCACUGGCGAGAGAAGGAUAAAGAUACUCCGUCAUUGGUCUAAUAUAAUAAGGAAAAUCGAGGAAUUUAUGUCGCUGAUCUGAGCCGCUAACUGCGUUUCCCAUUUGUUUCCGAUUCCGCUACAUUCUCUCAUGUUGUUCAUCUUGUUCACACCACAUCAAGGUUGUAUGUUUAAUUGCGUAUUUGCAUCUUUGCUUCUGGUUCUAUUUGCCAUAAACAGAACAAAAUAUUAGGUUGACUCAUAAUAACUUCAGUAUAGAAACAUUACGUGUCUCUUAUCAUCUGAAAGUCAUAUAAUCUUAUGCUUUUAGACAUCAAAACUGAGACAUGGCCAACUAUGUUGUCGCUGCUGUGC